rfam:Pristionchus pacificus strain PS312 contig12222, whole genome shotgun sequence.
UCUUCGUUCCGCCUGCUCUCUCACCGGUCAGAGAGGCGAGAGAGCGCGUGAAAUGAAGAGA